GAUUUCUGACGGACCGGGUUGGCCCGCUUUCUUCUAGAAGGUGAGUGCCGAUUCGAGUUAGUCAUCCUUCUAGAUAGCCGUGCCUACCGUUCAUUCGGUUGGGCGCGUGUGGUCUAGAUCUUUUACUUUGAAAAAAUUAGAGUGUUUAAAGCAGGCUUACGCUAUGAAUACAUUAGCAUGGAAUAAUAAUUUAGGACUUUGGUUCUAUUUUGUUGGUUUCUAGGACUGAAGUAAUGAUUGAUAGGGAUAGUUGGGGGUGCUAGUAUUCCGCGGCCAGAGGUGAAAUUCUUGGAUUCGCGGAAGACUAACUACUGCGAAAGCAUU
rnacentral:rRNA from 1 species